rnacentral:lncRNA from 1 species
AUCCUGUCUAGGGCUGGCGCCUGCCUUGCAUCCUGAGCUGCUGGGACAGACUCCGGCCACCCCAGACACUGAACUGGAAUAAGCGAGUUGGAAAAUGAAUGAAGGAAUGAAUACAAAUAAUUGUAAAAUAAAAAUGUGUACCACAAUGUACCACAAUAAACAAUGUGGGAUGAAAGCACUUGGCGAGCCCACCAAAUUUGUUAUUGGUUUUGAACUUCGUGGUGGGAGUAAGUGCUCCUUACGAGUUUCACUUUGCAAACAUUUAUUCCUUGAUUUAACCCACCACCACUACAACCACCAUCACUCGCUGUUUUACCAAAAACUGGGUACCGUUAGGGAAAUUCACAUUGUCGUGCAACCAUCACCACCAUCUAUCUCCAGGAAAUCUUCAUCGGCCUCAUCUCUCGGUCCACGUCCAACAAGCAGAAGGGACACCUCACUUUCAGGUCACCAACUAUCCUUCUCUGUCUCUGCUAGUGUGAGCAGGAGUUACAAAAGCAACAGGAAGAAAAAAGCUGCUGAGUUGGGAUAAUUCAAAAACAUGCCACUGGGAAAAUCAAAGGUUGAUAUGACAACAAAAGCAAAGGAAGAAUGUAAAAAUUUCACUUUGUAAAGAUGGCCAAAUAAUAAUAGGACAAAGACCAUGGUUGUAUACAAGACAGUGACUGGAAAUCUCAACUCCAAACAGCAGAAAAUGGAAAACAAGAGAUUUCCCAAAAAGUGCGGUACCCGAGGGUAUGAGCACACUUGAGUUUGGCAUCUACACAGGAAACGAGGUCAUUUCUUUUUCUCCUGAGUUAUUAUCAUCAAGGUCUCGACUCUGUAACAAAAUUUCACACUGGUUUAUCAAUAAAGUCUUAGGUGAAUUUUCAAAAGCUUCUGAAUAUAGUAAUAUAAAAUGACAAACUAUGGAAACUAUUGGAAAUCAUAAAGACCACGUGUAAGACUAGUUUCAAGAGGCUUAUGACAGAAUAAAUUCCACACUCUGGGGGCUUGGCACAACUUCUAUCCACAAAAGAAGACCACUCAUUUGUUCAAAGGCACCACCCCAAGACACACCAGCAAAUUCCUAUCAGUGGAUUCUCCUUUUCCUCACUGUAGUGUAGACACACCAUAUAUUCAGCAGUGCAGCCACAAAACCAUUCACUAAGUCUACAUAAAGUUCUAUGCAUUGUAAAUGCAUUUUAACAAAUAAUAUUCCUCUGUCUUAUGACAUCACAAAAGAUUCAACAAAACUCAGUCAAAUGAGAACAGGACCAGACAGCUCUUGUUCUCUAAAACAGGCUUCCACAGCUGCAUUUUCAGCUUUGCAUGAAGGAUUACCGCCUUCUUGCAUAAACUCCCAAAUUGGUGCAUGGAAAUAGAAAAUCAUACACACGAGUUGAGCAGCUCCGGCUCCAUUAACCAAUUUGCAUGCAAAAUCGACAUCAGCACUCUCUGGUCUAUUUUUUGCCUAUGUAAGAGAUGGCAUUUAGGAUGCCUUGGGAUUCUGCUUUUCAGAGGCAUUUUGGUUCCCACUAAAGAAAACGGGGUCCCUAAUGGUGUUUGGGGGCACAUGCACAUGUCCCUCCCAGCUGCCUUCUCAGGCAUUCCAGUGAAAAAGAGAAAAGUUUGAGAAUGAGAUCAAGUAAACAAUUAGGUGAGAGCCAAUGGUCAGGGGGAUGUUCUUCAGACUAAUACAACGAAGCAAUCAGGUGAAAAUCAUUUCUAAUUACACCCAGAAGAAAAAUACGAUCUAUCCACCGUUGGCACAAGAAGGGAAAGAUGGAUUUUUAAUCAGGCAAAGGAAUGUACUUUCUGGACUUGCCAGUGAUCACUUACUGAGAUGGGCCAUGGAGAAGUCUGGCCUUUGAGGUUACGCAUGAGGAUCUGAUAGGCAUUUGUGU